UUGGAAACAGAGGGUGAAUAAGAAAACUGAUUACAAAUGAAGCGUGUCAGCGAUUGCAGGCAAAUGAGAAUCCGUCCCCCUGGUGACUCCAUGCGAGUUUAUAACGACGCCAGACGCCUCAAUUUUCUAUUACUUGCCUGUCACUUUACCAAGAUUCCAGACACUCUUUACAGUCAUUGAUCUCUGCUAAAUGGAGAAAGCAUCAUUCUCCCUAUCAUCGC